UAUGUACAAAUAUUGCAUUUGGAAGAACAGUUUAUUUGAAUAUGAACACUAUUAUGACUCCACUUCAUUGAGAAAUGUUCAUAACAGAGUGUUGUGUGUUCCAAUUGACAGGAUCUCUAAAAAAGAAAUAUGGCAUCAGUAUGAUGAUGUGGCCGUUCAAGCUCCAACAAAGACUAUCUUGCGAAAUGUGUACCAUUACUGGAAAGGAAAAUUUAAGGAAACAUGUCUUGAAAAUAUGGAAACGUUUGUGUCGCACUUUCGUCCAGAAUGGGUUGCCCAUGCAGCUGACCCAGUCUCAGAAUCUUUUCAGGAGUCUUUGGAAAAAUUAGAUAAUCUUGUAUUUUGUUUGCGAAAAAUAUAUUUUACCCACGCAAAGUGCUUUGAAUCUGAUAAUGACUUCAGACAACAGUGGCAAACACUCUGCAGAUGUUUACUUCUCUCUCCUGAUCCCGAAACAAAGACAUGCCACGAGCUUACGGAUAUCCUUACUAUGUCGUCAAAGG